GACGAACGCUGGCGGCGUGCUUAACACAUGCAAGUCGAACGGAAAGGCCCUGCUUUUGUGGGGUGCUCGAGUGGCGAACGGGUGAGUAACACGUGAGUAACCUGCCCUUGACUUUGGGAUAACUUCAGGAAACUGGGGCUAAUACCGGAUAGGAGCUCCUGCUGCAUGGUGGGGGUUGGAAAGUUUCGGCGGUUGGGGAUGGACUCGCGGCUUAUCAGCUUGUUGGUGGGGUAGUGGCUUACCAGGGCUUUGACGGGUAGCCGGCCUGGGAGGGUGACCGGCCACAUUGGGACUGAGAUACGGCCCAGACUCCUACGGGAGGCAGCAGUGGGGAAUAUUGCACAAUGGGCGGAAGCCUGAUGCAGCAACGCCGCGUGCGGGAUGCCGGCCUUCGGGUUGUAAACCGCUUUCGCCUGUGACGAAGCGUGAGUGACGGUAAUGGGUAAAGAAGCACCGGCUAACUACGUG
rnacentral:rRNA from 1 species